rnacentral:rRNA from 1 species
UACAGAGGUCUCAAGCGUUGUUCGGAUUCAUUGGGCGUAAAGGGUGCGUAGGCGGCGCGGUAAGUCGGGUGUGAAAUUUCGAGGCUUAACUUCGAAACUGCAUUCGAUACUGCCGUGCUUGAGGACUGGAGAGGAGACUGGAAUUUACGGUGUAGCGGUGAAAUGCGUAGAUAUCGUAAGGAAGACCAGUGGCGAAGGCGGGUCUCUGGACGAGUUC